rfam:Spinacia oleracea cultivar SynViroflay scaffold89255.1, whole genome shotgun sequence.
GUCUGGAUAGCUCAGCUGGUAAAGCAGAGGACUGAAAAUCCCCGUGUCACCAGUUCAAAUCUGGUUCCUGGGA